CCUACGGGGGGCAGCAGUGAGGAAUAUUGGUCAAUGGACGAGAGUCUGAACCAGCCAAGUAGCGUGAAGGAUGACUGCCCUAUGGGUUGUAAACUUCUUUUAUAAAGGAAUAAAACGAGGCACGUGUGCCUUUUUGCAUGUACUUUAUGAAUAAGGAUCGGCUAACUCCGUGCCAGCAGCCGCGGUAAUACGGAGGAUCCGAGCGUUAUCCGGUUUUAUUGGGUUUAAAGGGAGCGUAGAUGGGUUGUUAAGUCAGUUGUGAAAGUUUGCGGCUCAACCGUAAAAUUGCAAUUGAUACUGGCAGUCUUGAGUACAGUUGAGGUAGGCGGAAUUCGUGGUGUAGCGGUGAAAUGCUUAGAUAUCACGAAGAACCCCGAUUGCGAAGGCAGCUUACUAAACUGUGACUGACAUUGAUGCUCGAAAGUGUGGGUAGCAAACAGGAUUAGAUACCCUUGUAGUC
rnacentral:rRNA from 1 species